rnacentral:pre_miRNA from 1 species
ACACAUCUCCAGUUUGUGCCUGGAUCAGACGCCAUCAAGGCCGUCCAUUUUUCAAUCAUGCCGUCGAUGGUGUUAGAUUCACGCACAAACUCGUGAUCUGUCU